rnacentral:rRNA from 1 species
CGAACGGGUGAGUAACACGUGGGCAACCUGCCCAAAAGAGGGGGAUAACACUUGGAAACAGGUGCUAAUACCGCAUAACCAUAGUUACCGCAUGGUAGCUAUGUAAAAGGUGGCUAUGCUACCGCUUUUGGAUGGGCCCGCGGCGCAUUAGCUAGUUGGUGGGGUAAAGGCUUACCAAGGCAAUGAUGCGUAGCCGAACUGAGAGGUUGAUCGGCCACAUUGGGACUGGGACACGGCCCAAACUCCUACGGGAGGCAGCAG